GCCCCAGUAACGGCGAGUGAAGCGGCAACAGCUCAAAUUUGAAAUCUGGCCUCGGCCCGAGUUGUAAUUUGCAGAGGAAGCUUUAGGCGCGGCACCAUCUGAGUCCCCUGGAACGGGGCGCCACAGAGGGUGAGAGCCCCGUAUAGAUGGACGCCUAGCCUGUGUAAAGCUCCUUCGACGAGUCGAGUAGUUUGGGAAUGCUGCUCAAAAUGGGAGGUAAAUUUCUUCUAAAGCUAAAUACCGGCCAGAGACCGAUAGCGCACAAGUAGAGUGAUCGAAAGAUGAAAAGCACUUUGAAAAGAGGGUUAAAUAGCACGUGAAAUUGUUGAAAGGGAAGCGCUUGUGACCAGACUUGCGCCGGGCAGAUCAUCCGGUGUUCUCACCGGUGCACUCUGCCCGGCUCAGGCCAGCAUCGGUUCUCGCGGGGGGAUAAAGGCACCGGGAACGUAGCUCCUCCGGGAGUGUUAUAGCCCGGGGCGUAAUGCCCUCGCGGGGACCGAGGACCGCGCAUCUGCAAGGAUGCUGGCGUAAUGGUCAUCAGCGACCCGUCUUGAAACACGGACCAAGGAGUCAAGGUUUUGCGCGAGUGUUUGGGUGUAAAACCCGCACGCGUAAUGAAAGUGAACGUAGGUGAGAGCUUCGGCGCAUCAUCGACCGAUCCUGAUGUUUUCGGAUGGAUUUGAGUAGGAGCGUUAAGCCUUGGACCCGAAAGAUGGUGAACUAUGCUUGGAUAGGGUGAAGCCAGAGGAAACUCUGGUGGAGGCUCGCAGCGGUUCUGACGUGCAAAUCGAUCGUCAAAUCUGAGCAUGGGGGCGAAAGACUAAUCGAACCAUCUAGUAGCUGGUACCGCC
rnacentral:rRNA from 1 species